rnacentral:rRNA from 1 species
UACCAGCACCCCGAGUGGUCGGGACGAUUAUUGGGCCUAAAGCACCCGUAGCCGGUUUUACAAGUCCUCCGUUAAAUCCAGCUGCUUAACAGAUGGGCUGCGGAGGAUACUAUAAGACUAGGAGGCAGGAGAGGCAAGCGGUACUCAGUGGGUAGGGGUAAAAUCCGUUGAUCCAUUGAAGACCACCAGUGGCGAAGGCGGCUUGCCAGAAUGCGCUCGACGGUGAGGGAUGAAAGCUGGGGGAGCAAACCGG